GGUGGCUCAGUGGUAGGGUGUUUGCCUGGCAUGCAUGAGGACCUGGGUUCGAUUCCUCAGCACCA
rnacentral:tRNA from 1 species